CUCUAAACAGAGGGUGAAAAGUCUGACUGCUUAGGGUAGCUAUUAUAGUACCGUCUGAAACACGGAUUAGGGAGUUAUCUGUAGUGCGAGUCUUUGCACGUUAACUGUAAAGGCGUAGAGAAAGCAACUGGCGUUUGCAUGGCUACUGAGCAUUACUGAUAGGACCCGAAAGGUGGUGAACUUUGCCUGCACAGGUUGAAGUCAGGGGAAACUCUGAUGGAGGACCGUACGGGUUAUUGAUGUGCAAAUCAUUUUUCUGAUGUAGGUAAAGGUGCGAAAGACUCAUCGAACCACCUAAUAGCUGGUUUCCUCCGAAGUUUCCCUCAGGAUAGCUGUAAUGCAUUUAGUUAAGGGGAGUAGAGAUAUGGGUAGAGGUGCAGGGAGCCUUCGGGUUCUCAACUUAUUUCCAAACUUCGAACCUCCUUGUUAGGCAUUUACCUAACUGGAAAUGCUUAAAUGAAUUAGCGUUACAAGUGGGCUCUGACCGGUAAGCGGUCAUGGCGAAAUGGGAUGAACCAUACGUCUGAAUAAGGUGCCGAAAUGUACUAUCACUGAUACCAUAAAGGGAGUCCAUGUAUUUAGACAGCAGGUCGGUGCCCCUAAAAGCAGGUAUCCGCUAAAGAGUGUGUUAAAACUCACCUGCCGAAUACUAGGGCCCCGAAAAUGAAUGGCGCAUAUAGUACUACCGAUCUCAGACAUCAGUUCUAUUGAACUGAGAGUAGGGGGAUGUGGACAUUUUUGUGAAGGUGCAAUGUGAGUUGGACUGGAAGAAUGUCUAUUACAGAUCCUAAUUGAAGUAGCGAUUAUCCAGGCUUGUAUCCUGGGGGCUGAUGAGGAGUAGGGUUUCUGGACAACUUAAACAGAUCCAGAGUUAGUCGAUCCUAAUCUCAAUAAUGGGAGAAAGGGAGUACAGUUGAUAUUCUGUAACUGACAACAGUUCGCGGCAACGCAUACUAUUUUUCUCCGCCAAUCUUAUACCGUUGGUAGGGAUCUCUUUCCUACAUGACAGUACUAAUACCCAGGGAAACUGGUCAUCAGGCGAACUGCGGCGUUCUGCUGGCAAAACAUAGCUUCGGUUAUGUCAAUGGCUAUUGGAUUGGUCCAUGAAGCGAAAAAUAGUUUACUGUGUCACUCGUACCGAUAACCGCAUCAGGUCUUCUAGGUAAGUAGCCUAU
rfam:Trichomonas vaginalis G3, whole genome shotgun sequence.